GGUGAGAUGGCCGAGUUGGUUAUGGCGCCAGGUUAAGGUUUCUUAACAUUGUUUCCUGGUCACGAAAGUGGCGUGGGUUCGAGUCCCACUCUCAUCA
rnacentral:tRNA from 1 species